UACGGAGGUGGCAAGCGUUGCUCGGAAUUACUGGGCAUAAAGGGCGUCUAGGCGGAUCGGUAAGUUGGCUGUGAAAGCCCUCGGCUCAACCGAGGAAGUGCAGCCAAAACUGCCAGUCUUGAGGGCGAUAGGGGAGAGUGGAACUCCUGGUGGAGCGGUGAAAUGCGUAGAUAUCAGGAGGAACGCCGGUGGCGAAAGCGACUCUCUGGAUCGUCCCUGACGCUGAAGCGCGAAAGCUAGGGGAGCGAACGGGAUUAGAUACCCGUGUA
rnacentral:rRNA from 1 species